rnacentral:rRNA from 1 species
GAUGAACGCUGGCGGCGUGCCUAAUACAUGCAAGUCGAGCGAACAGACGAGGAGCUUGCUCCUUUGACGUUAGCGGCGGACGGGUGAGUAACACGAGGAUAACCUACCUAUAAGACUGGGAUAACUUCGGGAAACCGGAGCUAAUACCGGAUAAUAUAUUGAACCGCAUUGGUCGAUAGUGAAAGACGGUUUUGCUGUCACUUAUAGAUGGAUCCGCGCCGCAUUAGCUAGUUGGUAGGGUAAUGGCUUUGCAAGGCAACGAUGCGUAGCCGACGUGCGAGGUGGAUAGGCCACAUUAGAACUGAGACGGGGACCAGGGGCCUGCGGGACGGCGCAGUCGCGUACCUGCGGCAGUGGGCGGGAGCAUGACGCAACAGGCCCAAGCGAGUGGUGGAAGCGUCGCGUGCGGAAAGCUGUGCUAUGGGGGGAAAACCAAUGUGUAAGUAACCAUGGACGGCUUGACGGUACCGGGUCAAGAAGCACCGGCUAACUACGUG